rnacentral:rRNA from 1 species
CGGAGCCUGCAACCCGGCUCCGUGAAGCUGGAUUCGCUAGUAAUCGCGCAUCAGCCAUGGCGCGGUGAAUACGUUCCCGGGCCUUGUACACACCGCCCGUCAAGCCAUGGGAGCCGGGGGCGCCUGAAGUGCGGUACCGCGAGGGCCGCCCAAGGGCGAGACCGGUGACUGGGGCUAAGUCGUAACAAGGUAUC